rnacentral:rRNA from 1 species
UACGAAGGGUGCAAGCGUUGCUCGGAAUCACUGGGCGUAAAGCGCACGUAGGCGGCUUGUUAAGUCAGGGGUGAAAUCCUGGAGCUCAACUCCAGAACUGCCUUUGAUACUGGCGAGCUUGAGUUCGGGAGAGGUGAGUGGAACUGCGAGUGUAGAGGUGAAAUUCGUAGAUAUUCGCAAGAACACCAGUGGCGAAGGCAGCUCGCUGGGACGGUACUGACGCUGAGACGCGAAAGCGUGGGGAGCAAACAGGG